GGGAAAGUGAGGGCUGUGACAAUUUAAUUCAUUCACAACUGGCAAUGUUAUUAUUGCAGAACAAAAAUGCUGUGUUAGAUGAAAACCAUCUGGUGUCAACAAAAACCAUCCCUGUGGUCAAGCAACAGCUUGGGACAAGUGGAUGUUGUUUGAAAAGUCACUGGGCCAGAAGCAGGGUUGAUUCCAGCCUCUGAAACGGGCACGAAUUCUUCUCUCGUAAUAAGAAAGGUGCCACCCAAACGUGCAGAGUCCCGCUUGUCUCAAGAUUAUGCUUUGGACUAGAGGCCAGGAUUUUCCCAUUGACAUGGACAAAUUGGUCUACUUUAUUGCAUUCUGGAGAUUUGAUCCUCCUCUGCAGUCUGCUGGGCAACUUCCAAAGGAUAGAAUUGGAUUCCUCACCAUAAAGUUUCUCCUUCCAAGAUGGAAAGGGCUUUUAUGGCAAAGUAUAAAAUCAAAAAACAAGCUGUCACUCGCAUUUGCUGCACUGCUCUUUCUGUGCACUGUAAGAAGCACUCUCAGGGUUUUGAAGCCUGCUGUAUUAAGUGUGAGAUGGUGAAAAGGUCAUGACAGAAGGGCUGGUGAGAUUGAGAUUGAGUGCAGGAGCAUUCUGCAAGGAGGUGACUUGCCUGCUCCAAAUGCCCUGAGAAGUGAAGGCGAGAGCCUUAGCACAGCAUUGUGCUACCUGUGUCUUCUCCAUCCCUGCUACCUGCAUCCCUCCUUGCACAACCAGACCAUGGCUUUCAGGGUGACUGAUGUCCCCAUCAAGGAACAGUUUGUGACAAAGGAAUACAUCUUCCAUGAGGAGGAUGACCAGGAAUUGGACAACAUGAACUGAAGAAAACAUCUCCUGCCUCAGCAAUGGGCUCCCAAACCAAAACAGACAUUACUGCCUGGAAGUAAUUCGGAGGAACUCUACCAGCAAGUGUGAAAUGAAUGCAAAUGUGCAGCUUCUUUAGACUUAAUUGUAGAAGAGCAUCUGUUUACAUUUCAUUUCAGUACUACAGUGAACCCUCAUCUAUUGGGAAGUUUGCAGCCUGCAAAGAUAGCAUGUUGUUGAGUGGUUUUGAAAAGAAUAUACCAUCAUUCACCAGGUUCAUGCUGCUUGCCUCUAUUCAGCCACUCACCAGAGCCACCCUAUCGAAACUACAACUGUGGAUGUCAUGUACAGCCCUGUGGUUUCUGCAGGCUCCGCUCCUGCUCGGAUGCCGGUAGCUUUCCAUUCCCACCGCCUGGAGCCGCUUCUCCAAAGUCUGACUAAACGUGUGUGUGUGUAAGGGGAAAUGAUUAACUCUGACCAUCUAUAGAAUGAAAUUCUUCCUACUUAAAGGUACUCCUGACAAAGCUGACUGGGAAGAAUUGCUAUGGUGGUUUCAAAUAGAGCAUGCUGCACUUUUUCCAAAAACUUCUUUGAUAUUUUUUGUGAAGAGUAAAGAGUGGUUUCUGCAAAGGAAUAUCUGCCAUCUCGCUGCAAAUAAUCAUUGGAUUAUGGUUUUAAUUCUAAAAACAUAC
ensembl:lncRNA